GGUUGGUUGUGGUUGUCACUGGUUGGUUGUAAUCAUCGUUGGGUUGGUUGUGGUUGUAGGACUGGUCAUGGUUGUCACCAGCUCGGUUGUGGGAUGGUUGUGGGAUUGGUCGUGGUUGUUGACACUGGGUCAGCUGUGGUUGUGGGAUUGAUUCUGGUUGUUGCAGGGUUGGUUGUGGUCAUCGUUGGGUCGGCUGUGGUUGUAGGAUGGGUUGUGGUUGUACCAGAUCGGUUGUGGUUGUCGUAGGAUCAGUUGUGGUUGUUGUCACUGGUUCAGCUGUGGUUGUGGGGUUGGUUGUGAUCAUCGUUGGGUUGGUUGUGGUUGUGGGAUCGGUUGUGGUCGUCACCAGAUCAGGUGUGGUUGUUGUGGGAUGGUUGUGGUGGUUGUUAUUGGGUCGGCUGUGGUUGUAGGAUCGGUUGUGAUCAUCACCAGGUCAGGUGUGGUCAUCAUUGGGUUGGUUGUGGUUGUAGGAAUGGUCGUGGUCGUCACCAGAUCGAUUGUGCUGUGGUUGUAGGAUUGGUUGUGGUUCUCAUUGGGUUGGUUGUGGUCAUGGUUGGGUCGGCCGUGGUUGUAGGAUUUGUCACGGUUGUCACCAGAUCAGUUGUGGGAUGGUUGUGGGAUUGGUUGCGGUGGUUGUCAUUGGCUCAGCUGUGGUUGUAGGAUUGGUUGUGGGCAUCGUUGGGUCGGCCUUGGUUGUGGUUGCCACCGGAUCAGGUGUGGUUGUUGAAGGAUUGGUCACCAGCUCGGUUGUGGUUGUCGUAGGAUCAGUUGUGGUUGUUGUCAUUGGCUCAGCUGUGGUUGUGGGAUCGGUUGUAAUCAUCGUUGGAUCAGUUGUGGUUGUUUUAGGAUCGGUUGUGGUCAUUGUUGGGUCGGCUGUGGUUGUAGGAUGGGUUGUGGUGGUCACCAGCUCGGUUGUGGUUGUCGU